rnacentral:lncRNA from 1 species
GACAAGGCAGUGCAACCCUGGCUAUUUUCUGGGCAAGGCUGGUGCUCUGGUGCUGGACUUCAUUUGCCUGAAGGAAGCAGUGCAUUUUUCUAACUUGUGUGAAGACAUUGUAUGGACUAGCUGUGGCCCUGGAGCCAUGUAUGUGGAUGGGGUCGGCCUCACUGAACCACUGAGACUAUCUGCUGUUAGAGGAGAAUUCUUCUGUCCUAGCUGUGUCUCUGUGAUCUGUGGAUGAGGGUGGGAAAGCACCACUCAGUCAAUUGGGGUGUACAAAAUGGAGUUUGAGAAGGUCUCACAUCCAGGUUGUUUUGAAGCAAAGUCCAAGCAUUGUAUCACUUCAUCUGCAAAUAUUUCAAUAAGUACCCAAAAGUGGUUGGACUGAGUCCCAUGAAGCCAGAUCACUUCUGACUGCAAGGAGCUUGGAAAAGCAAGUAUCUGGAUCUUUUACCAGCUAAAUUUGGAGCGAUGAGGCUUCCUCUUUGAAGAUCACAGGUGAGAAGAUUAGGUGCUUUCUCAGAAGCCCAGCAACCUGAUGGGAGUGUGGAGUGAGCAAGACCCAAAUCGGAGCUUCAUCCCUGCAUGGUUCAUUUUGCUUAUUUGGCAAACUUGCCCUGCAGAAUCUACUCAAGCUUCCUCAGUUUCUCAAAUCAUUCUUGGGCAACAAAUGAACAAGAAAGAGGACGUCUUAUUAUCUGGUGUCUGGCUUGCUGAUUUAAUAACCUAGGAGACAGUGUUUGAAGAACACAAACUCUAAAGUCCUUCACUUAAAAAAAAAAAAAAACUUUCCCAAAUUGCUUACCAUUUGGAAAAAUUGCCUUACCUUCUUCAGUCAUCUCUGAUGUUGUCAUCCUCAGAGUAAGAAGUACGCAUUCAUAAGGAACCAUAACGUCCUUCAGGAAAUCCAGUACACCCUACAAUUUUACCUAAAACUUUGAUGUUGUUUUUUCUGAGCAUUUUACCUUCUAGGGAAAUGGAUCUCAUGCUGUUUAUCAGUUUCUGAAAGUUGUUAUUAAUCUCCCCUCAUCCCAAAAUUGAAGAACUUUGCUUAAAUCUUAGAAUCAGAACUUUGGCUCCAGUAAUAAAGACUUUUCAAUAUCUUUAUCUGCCAUUGAGUCUUACCUAACGAAAUAAAGCCUCCAAA